CUAAUGAAGAAAUCAGAUGCCCCCUCCCGAAACCUACAGUCGCCCGCCGAAUAACCAGAAAACAGUAACCUCCAUAGAAUGCUUUACCAAUGGACCAGUGUUAGUAGCUGCUCUCUGUAUUCUGUGGAUAGUCUUACUCUAUGUACACAGAUGUAAUUAAAGUUGUACCCCUAACAAACAAAAGAAUAGUUCAGCUUCAAUGUUCCAUGUUCGCUGCGCUUUUCUGAACUUUACGUUGCAUUCAGAAACUGUCGUCUUGUUCUCGUGGUGUUUGGAUUCUUGUGGUGUGUGCUUUUAGACACAGGGUAGAAUUAGAGACAGUAUUGGAUGUAUACUUCCUCAGGAGACCACAGUAGUAUCUUCUACUCCUUACCAGUAAUAACUAAGAGAUUGAAACUCCAAAACAGUAUUCAUUAUGAUCAGACACACAUCAAAAUCAUAAUAUUUUCAAAAAAGGGAUAAUUUCUCUAAUGGUUUAUUAUAGAAUACCAAUGUAUAGCUUAGACAUAAAACUUUGAAUAUUCAAGAAUAUAGAUAAGUCUAAUUUUUAAAUGCUGUAUAUAUGGCUUUCCCCUGAUCAUCUCUCAGAUGUUGUUAUUAACUCGCUCUGUGUUGUUGCAAACCCUUUUGGUGCGGACUUGCUUCCAAAACUAUUGCUACUUUGUGUGCGUUAAGCAAAAUACCUUGGACUGAGGACGUCUCAGCCCUGUGCUAGGAAUACUGUGUAUCUAUCAUUAGCUAUGUGGGAAUAUAUCGUAGAUUGUGGUUCUCAGUAGAGAAAGUGACUGUAGUGUGAAUCUAGGUAAAUCAUCGUUAGCAAUUCAUUCGGAUGGUCGAUAACUUGAAAUUGAUAGCUGUGAUAAGUUAAAAAAAAAUUGGCAAAUCCCUGACUAAACAUCAACAGAAAAUACAACUCCUGGGGGGUGGGGGAAGGUGCUCAUCCUGUAAGAUUCUUCAUCAUGUAUGUGUUCAAAACAUUAUUUUGCAGAAGGUUUAUGCAGGGUUUAAGUUACUAUUGCGCAAUUACGCUAUGUGUACAAAAGGAAUAUAAAGUGUAUCGACCACCUCACUGAGUCACACCCGAGGGUCUGAGCUUCAGAAGCCAGAGCCCGCAAGUGAUCGUGAGACAGAAACACAUUUAAAGAAUGAGGUACAAUGUGUCGUCCUCUGUUUAAAAGACUUGGCCUUUGAAAACAACAAGUAUCUCACAACUGAAGUGAAAAAAAAAAAAAACAGCUUGAAAUGUAGAUCUAAAAGGAACGCACGGGCUUCUGGGUAGAUGCCAUUUGUAC
rnacentral:lncRNA from 1 species